CAUCCCUUUUUUCUUUGCACACGUGAAUGAUAAGGGGACGCCAAUAGUUGGCACCCCACUUUAUCAGGGAUUCUCUCUCCUCUUUGACUCAUCCUUUCUUUUGAAUUUAAUUUAAAGAAGAAAUAUAUCAGAUAAGGAUCUGAUAUGAGUGUGGGAUGUUAUUUUUAUGUGACAAAAAAUAUUGAGAAAGGUGGGCAUGCGC
rnacentral:lncRNA from 1 species